ensembl:snRNA
GUGUUGUAUAACAGGAGAGAAGGUUAGCACUUCCUUCCCUUGAUAAGAUGGAAGAGGUCCUAGCGGCCUUCACAACACAUAUAAAAUUUAAUCCUUAUUUUU